UACGAAGGGGGCUAGCGUUGUUCGGAUUUACUGGGCGUAAAGCGCACGUAGGCGGAUUCUUAAGUCAGGGGUGAAAUCCCGAGGCUCAACCUCGGAACUGCCUUUGAUACUGGGGAUCUCGAGUUCGGGAGAGGUGAGUGGAAUUGCGAGUGUAGAGGUGAAAUUCGUAGAUAUUCGCAAGAACACCAGUGGCGAAGGCGGCUCACUGGCCCGAUACUGACGCUGAGGAGCGAAAGCAUGGGGAGCAAACAGG
rnacentral:rRNA from 1 species